AUAUCGUACAUACCGAUUUCACCACGGUAUCCAUGUCGUGAUCGAAGAUCGUAUUUCUUCGUGUAGUCGCGUAACGAUCCCAUUUAUUGAAGAAAAAACAAAGAUAUUUAUAGAAACAUAUUAUAAUUUACGAAAUAAUUUUCUCAAAAUUGAUUAUUAAAAUAAGAUUGUGUUACGUUCGUAAUAAUAUGGGCUCCGCCCAACUGCAAUGAUGCACCGUUGACAAUUAUGAUUCCGUACACGGUUCAACUCAAUACUCAACCGAACACAACGUACACCGACACAACGUAUGUGAUUAAUCGAUCGUCUUAUUUCAAUUGAACCGAUAAUUUACACAAACGAUGAUUUAAUAAAUUUAAUAGUGACUUCAUAUAAUAAUCAUUAUACAUUAAUCAACAUAUUAUAACCGUUAUGAUCAGCAUUACGUUCAUUUUAUAGUUAACAUGUCACUCUCAUGUGCACUACCGCUAUGAGUAUAUUCACUCGUACUUCAUUUCCUCCUCUCUCUCUUUCCCACUCCUUUCGAAAUGCUCGGUCGGUCGGUCGGUUGAUUUAUCCGUCGAUAUUCUGCACACAAGUUCCAACGUUUCGUAUUUCUUGCAAACUUCCCCAGGGACGUGAAUUAUCCGAUUUAUCUGAAUAGGUUUGGCACAAUGGUCGAACAUAAUCCAUGCUCGUAUUAAGAUCUUCAAAACUAUGCACUAAAGAUUUGGAAAUACCAGAAAAGACUUUUGGACUAAAUUUAUCUGAAUCAUCAGAUAUUUCAAUGGCAUCUUCUAAGCCAUGCAACAUCGCGUUAGUACAAACGGACACGAGAGAACCAACGGACGAACUAAGCAACCCCUGCUUAACUGUUGAAGCAGAUGGCAAUGGACAGGUGGGCAAAUCCCCCCUCUUUAUUCCGUUUUGUGCAUCGGAACUCAUCUCGGAAUUCUCUACCACUUCCGUAUUUAUUUCAUUGCAAAAAUCAUUAAAAACAACACUUUCACGAGGCAAUUUCAAAUUAUCUUUGUAUAUGUUUAAUUUAUUUGCUUCAUUCCAACAAGUAUUUGAUACAGCCCGUACCGUUAAUCUUAAAUCCACGGCUUCAUUACUAUAUGAUCUUGAAUAAUCACAUGUAUCCUAAAUACAUAUCACGUUCAUUAAAAAUAAAGUUUUUUUUUUUAAUCAAAAUGAAAAAUUUUAAAACAAUUAAAAAAUAAUUCUUAUGUAUAACUCUAUAUAUAUUUUAUUAUCUAUAAUUUCAUUAAAAAUAUUUUUUUUUAAACAAUUUUAAUAAAUUUAAUAAUAUACAUAUUAAAGUCAUAAAAUUUUUCUUUUUUUUUUACUUAAAAUAUAAAGUUUUUUUAUGAAUUUGUUACUUGUUAUUCUAUUGUCUUAGUUGUUGUAUUAAAUAAAAUUACAUAAUUUUUAAUAUAUUUGAUGAAUAAUUAAAAUAAAGUAUUAAUAAGAAAUCUUAUAAUCUGUUCCAUAUAUUAAAUUAACUACAAUUAACAUUAUAAUCAACAUACCCUAUAUUCUGAAGUUGGACAUCUUCUUUGGGAAACAUUUUGAAUAAUAUUUUUGUCAGAACGGCUUGUACAAUCAUCUUUAUAACCAAUUCCAGAAUCACUGUUACUUGAAUGAGCUGUUGAUGUACUUAUAUUGCUUGGUUGAGGAGAAGCUGUUUCUUGAUGUCUUCGCAUUUCAUUAUAUGGAUUUGUAUCAGUAGCUGCAGAAUCUGAUAUGUACAGAGUUUGUAUAGCACCUAUUAGACCAUUGCAACUAUCUGGAAAUUCCUGACAUACAUUUAAUUCAGAAGUUUUGGUACAUGUAAAUCCAAAUAUAUUGCAUACACUAGAAUGUACUACAUGGUCAAUUAAUUUAUAAUAAAUUGUAAAAACAUGACAAGAA